rnacentral:rRNA from 1 species
AUACGGAGGGUGCAAGCGUUAUUCGGAAUCACUGGGCGUAAAGGACGCGUAGGCGGGUUGGCAAGUCAGAUGUGAAAUCCUACAGCUUAACUGUAGAACUGCAUUUGAAACUGCUAACCUAGAGUAUGGGAGGGGGAGAUGGAAUUAGUGGUGUAGGGGUAAAAUCCGUAGAUAUCACUUGGAAUACCGAAAGCGAAGGCGAUCUCCUGGAACAUAACUGACGCUAAGGCGUGAAAGCGUGGGGAGCAAACAGGAUUAGAAACCCUAGUAGUCC